rnacentral:rRNA from 1 species
GAUGAACGCUGGCGGCGUGCCUAAUACAUGCAAGUCGAGCGAACAGACGAGGAGCUUGCUCCUCUGACGUUAGCGGCGGACGGGUGAGUAACACGUGGAUAACCUACCUAUAAGACUGGGAUAACUUCGGGAAACCGGAGCUAAUACCGGAUAAUAUAUUGAACCGCAUGGUUGAAUAGUGAAAGACGGUUUUGCUGUCACUUAUAGAUGGAUCCGCGCCGCAUUAGCUAGUUGGUAGGGUAACGGCUUAGCACGGCAACGAUGCGUAGCCGACCUGAGGGAGUGAUCGGCCACACUGGAACUGGGACACGGUCCAGACUCCUACGGGAGGCAGCAGUAGGGAAUCUUACGCAAUGGGCGAGAGCUUUACGGAGCAACGCCGCGUGAGUGAUGAAGGUCUUGGGAUCGUAAAACUCUGUUAUUAGGGAAGAACAAAUGUGUAAGUAACUAUGCACGUCUUGACGGUACCUAAUCAGAAAGCCACGGCUAACUACGUG